rnacentral:tRNA from 1 species
AUUUAUGAUAGUUUAAAUUUAUUAGAAUAGUAAUUUGUGGUAUUACUGGUGAAUAUUUAUAUUCUCUAAAUC